rnacentral:rRNA from 1 species
GACGAACGCUGGCGGCGUGCCUAAUACAUGCAAGUAGAACGCUGAAGGAGGAGCUUGCUUCUCUGGAUGAGUUGCGAACGGGUGAGUAACGCGUAGGUAACCUGCCUGGUAGCGGGGGAUAACUAUUGGAAACGAUAGCUAAUACCGCAUAAGAGUAGAUGUUGCAUGACAUUUGCUUAAAAGGUGCAAUUGCAUCACUACCAGAUGGACCUGCGUUGUAUUAGCUAGUUGGUGAGGUAGCGGCUCACCAAGGCAACGAUACAUAGCCGACCUGAGAGGGUGAUCGGCCACACUGGGACUGAGACACGGCCCAGACUCCUACGGGAGGCAGCAGUAGGGAAUCUUCGGCAAUGGACGGAAGUCUGACCGAGCAACGCCGCGGGAGUGAAGAAGGUUUUCGGAUCGUAAAGCUCUGUUGUAAGAGAAGAACGAGUGUGAGAGUGGAAAGUUCACACUGUGACGGUAUCUUACCAGAAAGGGACGGCUAACUACGUG